rnacentral:lncRNA from 1 species
UUGUCUGCAGAAGGAGCUAAAACUGGAAGUGGAACCGCUUUGAUUAUCAUAGAGAAGAUAUGAUGAGAGAGAUUUGCAGAACACUGUGGGCUGCACAUCUGACAGCUGAUUGGUGCAUCCUGAUGUUAUGAAUACAGCAGAAGGGCUCUCCUGUUCACCUGAAGAACAGAUGUACUCAGCUACUCUGUCUCUGAACUCUUUCACAAUUUCAAACAAGGCAAACAAAAUGGGAAGUUCCUGAAUUUUUCUUGGUGAAAGUCC